UGAUUUCCUGUCUUGGAGAUUAGGAUGGGAAUGCAAAUGGGAAUGGUUUUCUUCUUCUUGACUCAGAGUUCAAUGUGAAAAGGCAUGCAAUGGGAUUGCAUCAAGCAAUAGCAAUCUCCAUGGAAUAUUGUGUAGCUUACAAUGUAGAAGCAUCAAAUGAUGGAUACUACAACACAAUUGUUCUAGGAGUUAAUAGAAAGCCUACUGGAAAGCUUGAUUCAAAUGGAGCUACUGCAGCUAGUUUGGUUGCCUUGGAACAUGAACUACUUCCAAGGAAUGCUCCUGGGUUUCUGGAAAGAGCUGCG